rnacentral:rRNA from 1 species
GAUGAACGCUGGCGGCGUGCCUAAUACAUGCAAGUCGAGCGAACGGACGAGAAGCUUGCUUCUCUGAUGUUAGCGGCGGACGGGAGAGUAACACGUGGAUAACCUACCUAUAAGACUGGGAUAACUUCGGGAAACCGGAGCUAAUACCGGAUCAUAUAUUGAACCGCAUAGUUCAAAAGUGAAAGACGGUCUUGCUGUCACUUAUAGAUGAAUCCGCGCUGCAUGAGCUAGUUGGUAAGGUAACGGCUUCCCAAGGCAACGAUGCAUAGCCGACCCGAGAGGGUGCACGCUCACGCUGGAUCUGAGACCUCUUCGCGUCGCGCACGGGAGGCCGCCGUCUGGAAUCUUCCGCAAUGCGCGCAUGCCUGACCGACCAAUCCCCCGUGAGUGAUGAGGGCUCUGGGUGCGGAGAACUCUGUUAUGAGGGAAGGACAUCUGUCUCACUAACCGUGCACAUUCUGCCGGUAGCCAAUAAAGAAGCAACGCCCAACCUCGAG